rnacentral:rRNA from 1 species
UCCAGACUCCUACGGGAGGCAGCAGUGAGGAAUAUUGGUCAAUGGGCGGGAGCCUGAACCAGCCAAGUCGCGUGAGGGAAGACGGUCCUAUGGAUUGUAAACCUCUUUUGUCGGGGAGCAAAGAGAUCACGUGUGGUCAAAAGCGAGAGUACCCGAAGAAAAAGCAUCGGCUAACUCCGUGCCAGCAGCCGCGGUAAUACGGAGGAUCCGAGCGUUAUCCGGAUUUAUUGGGUUUAAAGGGAGCGUAGAUGGGUUGUUAAGUCAGUUGUGAAAGUUUGCGGCUCAACCGUAAAAUUGCAAUUGAUACUGGCAGUCUUGAGUACAGUUGAGGUAGGCGGAAUUCGUGGUGUAGCGGUGAAAUGCUUAGAUAUCACGAAGAACUCCGAUUGCGAAGGCAGCUCACUGGACUGCAACUGACACUGAUGCUCGAAAGUGUGGGUAUCAAACAGGAUUAGAUACCCCAGUA